rnacentral:rRNA from 1 species
AUGCAAGUCGAGCGAACUGAUUAGAAGCUUGCUUCUAUGACGUUAGCGGCGGACGGGUGAGUAACACGUGGGCAACCUGCCUGUAAGACUGGGAUAACUUCGGGAAACCGAAGCUAAUACCGGAUAGGAUCUUCUCCUUCAUGGGAGAUGAUUGAAAGAUGGUUUCGGCUAUCACUUACAGAUGGGCCCGCGGUGCAUUAGCUAGUUGGUGAGGUAACGGCUCACCAAGGCAACGAUGCAUAGCCGACCUGAGAGGGUGAUCGGCCACACUGGGACUGAGACACGGCCCAGACUCCUACGGGAGGCAGCAGUAGGGAAUCUUCCGCAAUGGACGAAAGUCUGACGGAGCAACGCCGCGUGAGUGAUGAAGGCUUUCGGGUCGUAAAACUCUGUUGUUAGGGAAGAACAAGUACAAGAGUAACUGCUUGUACCUUGACGGUACCUAACCAGAAAGCCACGGCUAACUACGUGCCAGCAGCCGCGGUAAUACGUAGGUGGCAAGCGUUAUCCGGAAUUAUUGGGCGUAAAGCGCGCGCAGGCGGUUUCUUAAGUCUGAUGUGAAAGCCCACGGCUCAACCGUGGAGGGUCAUUGGAAACUGG